CCAGCCUUCUACUUUGGGGAGGUAGGCUCACAGGAUGUUUAGCAGCAUCUCCAGCCUCAACCCACUCGAUGCCAGUAGUAUCCAGUUGUGACAGCUAAAAAUGUCUCCAGAUAUUGCCAACAGUUGUCCCAGGAUGAGAACCACUGCUGCAAAGGUCACACGAUGUGGUUGGGCAGGGUGAGUAUGGGACCUUGAGCUGGGGUAAGACCUGAGGGGCAGAGUUGUGAGAGUUAUGGGGAACGUUUCCAAUUUCUUCUAUGGAGAAAUGGGAAGAGAUGGUGGAUGAAGGAAA
rnacentral:lncRNA from 10 species